rnacentral:lncRNA from 10 species
CAAGAACAUUCUUAAGUAGAACUUGCCUUUGUUUUUUUCUUAAACUGUGAAUGCACAGCGUUCUAGAACACAACUACUAACUAGCUCGGCCUGGUACCACGGAUUUGUGCUACGGCACCAGGAGAGCAAAAUCAACACAGAAAAAAGCAAGAAAACUCAGAGAAAAAAUAAAACAAAUCUACAAUGAACACAUCAGUAUGUAUAUUUCUACAAACUUGUGUGAGAAGUUCUGUAAGAUCAAGUCCUAAAAGCAGAAUUGCUGGCUCAAAGGAUAUGAGUAACAUCAGCUGACUCGAAGUUAAGAAGAUUGGCCUCCACAAUCAGGGUGGGCCUCAUCCAAUCAGUAAAAGGCCCUAAGUGCAAAACUAAGGCUUCCCUGAAGAAGAAAUGUCCACCUAACAGACAGCCUCCCUGUGGAUUUCAGACUUGCCUAGCCAGCCCCAGCAAUUAUGUAAACCAGUUCCUUGCAAAAAAAAUCUCUUUAUAUGUAUAUAAACCUGUUGAAAAUUUUAUAUAGCAUAUAUAUAUAUGUAUAAUACAUACAUGUGUAUACAUGCAUACAUAUGUGUCUGUAUAUUUAUACACAUACAUAAUCUCCAUCUGGUUCUCUUUCUCGGGUAAAACACUAAUUGAUACACCUAUAGGGAUAGGUGAAUAGUAAGAAGUAUAAUUAAUAAUCUUUUGUUAGGUCUCAGUAAAACCUUUUUACUUUGCUUCUCAGAAAAUGAGAAUGCAAAGGGCCCUAAUGACUUGUUAAAAAACCUAAAUCUCUUCCAUGUCUGCUGGUUUCAAAUUAUCUGCUUCUAGCAAAACUGAAAGAAGACCUAAUUGAAUUGUCAGCUGCU